UUUGGAAGAAAUGUUCGCUAAUUUCGAUAAUAAUCUAAUAAAUGGUUCGUUCGUUCCUUGUAAUCGUUUUCGUGAUCUUUUUUUGACGUUUAGCGAUCGAAAAUAAAAAUUACUUUCUUCCGAGACUUUUGAGUCUUUCAGAUCGAAAAAAGGGGAAAGAAAUUACGAAAAUGGAGAAUCGAAAAUUUACCGAGUGGAAUAGUCACACGCUCGGGCGCCUAAACCCGUCUUCUUAUACGACUGUUUGCGAUUCUCGGUUCGUCGAGCUGGAAUCGUGCCCGGCAUGCCUCGCGAGCUUCCAGGAUCAGGCGUACAUCCUGACAGUCGGUUGACGAGAUCCUGCAGGACACUUUUAAAGUGGCUCCGAAAAUGUGUCAAUCGAUCGUUCACCAGGGUCCCAUCGGGGUAAAACAAGUCGCGCCGCCCACUUUGAACCAGGUUCAAGCUUCAUUCACCCCCCAUCAGGGUCGUUUGACAAGAUGAGCCAUGCGGGAGAGUUAAUUAAAUGUGUUCACUUGACUGCGGUCAAACGUUUCAUUUUUGAUGAACGAGCAACAUCAAAAGCCGUUGAUAUCCGGCUAGCAUCCGGAAACAGAGGACGGAAGCGAUGCACCGACACGUUGACGUGCUCUGUGCGACAAACCGAACGCGAAAAACGGUGCGUCCUCUGAUGGCUUGUGGACCAGGCUAGUACUCGGCAGCGAGAGUUUUACACCGAGCGAAGUACAGUGUCAGAGGACUUCGCCACCAACAAUGUUGAAGCGUUGGGCUGUAUCGACACGACGAGCACGUUUAUUCUCUAAUUCAAGAAAAUUGAAUCACUUUUUCACAUUUACGUGAAAUGUGAAAAAAAUGGAACGACUUCCCUCGUGAGAAAUCAUGGGGGGAGUCGCGUACGAAGAAAUGAAGGAAAAAUAAUUCCCACGACGAAGAAAACGAAAAAGAUGGUGACGACGACGACGUCUCGCGGGGGGAGACAAGUGGGGAUGGUUUCGUCAUUCAGCCACCUCCAUCGAGUCCUCCGGAGAACCAGGACGCCAGUCGAAGCUUCUCGACCUUACCUGGCGGUAAUGGAAUCAAUUUUAACGAUGCAACGUCAAUUUUUAAUGGUAAACGAUAUCGGAGCCCAAUGAACCGCGCGAAUUAUUUAAUUUUUAUUGCUUUUGUAUUUCAUUGCAAUUAUUCAACGAUAAACAAUGAUUCGCAUGGUUGAAAUUGAAUAAGAUCGCAAGUACAGGAAAUACAGAAAUAGAUUGGAGAUAAAUUAUUUUUUUCUCAAUAAUUUUGUGCCUUUUUUCUUCACGAAUCAAUUUGUUUCCUCUUUUACUUUA